rnacentral:rRNA from 1 species
UACGUAGGGCGCAAGCGUUAUCCGGAAUUAUUGGGCGUAAAGAGCUCGUAGGCGGUUUGUCGCGUCUGCCGUGAAAGUCCGGGGCUCAACUCCGGAUCUGCGGUGGGUACGGGCAGACUAGAGUGAUGUAGGGGAGACUGGAAUUCCUGGUGUAGCGGUGAAAUGCGCAGAUAUCAGGAGGAACACCGAUGGCGAAGGCAGGUCUCUGGGCAUUAACUGACGCUGAGGCGCGAAAGCAAGGGGAUCAAACAGG